rnacentral:rRNA from 1 species
AUUGAACGCUGGCGGCAGGCCUAACACAUGCAAGUCGAGCGAGCGGCGGACGGGAGAGUAAUGUAUGGGGACUGCCCGAUAGAGGGGGAUAACUACUGGAAACGGUAGCUAAUACCGCAUACUAUCGGAUAACCCAUAUGGGAUUAGCUAGUUGGUGAGGUAAUGGCUCACCAAGGCGACGAUCCCUAGCUGGUCUGAGAGGAUGAUAAGCCACACUGGAACUUAGACACGGUCCAGACUCCUACGGAGGCAGCAGUGGGGAAUAUUGCACAACGGGCGCAAGCCUUAUGCAGCCAUGCCGAGUGUAUGAAGAAGGCCCUAGGGUUGUAAAGUACUUUCAGUCGGGAGGCGUUACCGGCAGAAGAAGCACCGGCUAACUCCGUGCCAGCAGCCGCGGUAAUUC